rnacentral:rRNA from 1 species
GAUGAACGCUAGCGGCAGGCUUAAUACAUGCAAGUCGUGGGGCAGCAGGACGGUAGCAAUACCGUUGCUGGCGACCGGCAAACGGGUGCGGAACACGUACACAACCUUCCUUUAAGUGGGAAAUAGCCCAGAGAAAUUUGGAUUAAUACCCCGUAACAUGGUGAAAAGGCAUCUUUUUAUCAUUAUAGCAGCAAUGCGCUUAAUGAUGGGUGUGCGGCUGAUUAGGUAGUUGGCGGGGUAACGGUCCACCAAGCCUUCGAUCAGUAACUGGUGUGAGAGCACGACCAGUCACACGGGCACUGAGACACGGGCCCGACUCCUACGGGAGGCAGCAGUAAGGAAUAUUGGGCAAUGGAGGCAACUCUGACCCAGCCAUGCCGCGUGGAGGAUGAAGGUCCUCUGGAUUGUAAACUUCUUUUAUAUGGGACGAAAAAAGGGUUUUCUAACUCGACUGACGGUACCAUAUGAAUGAGCACCGGCUAACUCCGUGCCAGCAGCCGCAGUAACAC